UUGUGAAGUUGAACAUUUUCUCACAAAGAAUCCGUUUGUAGACAUGCACACUCAUUUAAUCUGGAGCUACGAAGUACUUUGUCACUUCUCUGGAACAUUAUUCUAAGCAGAAUUAUCCCGAUUCAUAUAUUCUAAGAAUCUUGUGUGAAUUGUUUACGAGGAAAUUCUGACUGUCACAUUAACAAGGAUGAACACUCUUGACUCUGCUUCGGAUUCCCCAUUGAUAAUUGUAUCGAGUGAUGAAAGAGCUGACGGCGACAUUUUAAUGUAUGAUUGGCUUGGACCAUUGGAAUGAAGUCAUUUCAUGGUGCCACCACUUGGGAUGGUAUUAGCUGCAAAUAUAGACUUGUACUCAGCACUUAUUGCCUUUAAGAAGUAUGAGAUCCAUUUUGUGCUAACACCUACGGUGACACAGAAUCUUGGUUUAUGCAGUCUCAUAGGAGUAACCUGUCUAAAGCAUUUAGCAAUGGGAUUGGAACCUGCGACGUGUGACUCAUCUGAAAACUGAAUUUUGAUACCAAGCAUGACCAUGAUUUGCCAGAAGAUCAUCUGUUUGGAUGUGACAUGGAAUAAACAGCAUAGUGAAAAUAAGUCAAGUUUUGGUUUGUGAAGACAAUUUUUAAACACACUGUGUAUCAUUUUUAAAUUUUGAUUUGACAACAUAAAUCCACAAAUAUGAACAUAUCAAUUGCU